GACUGGCAUGCACCUGUGACUUACAUAAACCAGACCUCUACAUAGCCUACAUGUCUUCAUUUUGCUGAAGACUGCCCAUCAUCCUAGCCUGUUAUCUGUGAUAAAGCACACUGAAGUUAGGUUUGGAAUGCAUCCUUAUCAUGAAUGCUCUACACCUCCACCUCCAUCUCCCACAACCUAGGUAACAGCUUUGAGACUCACUAAAAGUUGAACCCCCUGAAUGAUGUAGGCUAUGGGGCCACAUAAGACUUUGUCCAUCCAGGGUUACAUUGAAAGACAACUUUAAACUAAAAAACCAACAUUUUUCACACAACUCCAGGUUGUUACUACAAGUGUCAUCAAGGGAUAACUACAAGUAGAAGCACCAUUUUUGGAUGGAAAAAACCCUUCAGGAAAGUAUACGUAUCACAUGUAACAUGUAGUGUAACAAAGUAUGAACAGUAAGGUUUUUACAUACAGUAGUACAUAUUACAUACGUACAUAACUUUUUUUACAGGAAUUUCCAACCAAGUUUGAUUAUGUACAUAUGUACAUGUUAUAAACCACUGUACGUAUGGUUACUGUAUGUAACUUACUAAACAUACAUAACAUGACUUAACUUUGAUACUUUUUUGGUACAUUCCAGAAAACCAGGACCCCCUCCAUGAUGCAGGCUAUGGGGCCACAUAAAACUUUGUCCAGGGUUACUACAUAACAUAGCACGACAACUGUAAAACUAUGUACUACUGUACUAAAGGUAAGGAAUUAUACAUAGUAGUAAACAUACAUUAAGUAAGUUUUAUACGUACAUA